GAUUGUCACACUGUCCCUUUCCAGAAGAGGUGGGGCUCCUCCCCUCGGCCCCUUCCCCUCCACGCGCCUCCUGGUUUCGGCCGGCCCGUCCUCUCCUUGCACUGCCAGGGACUUGCACUUGCUGCCGCUCUGCCAACCACACCUACUCACGUGCUUUCCCAAAAGCAAAAGCUAUUCAUUUUCCCCAGCGAUGGAAACAGCAGAUUCUGGGUGAGUUCUCUGGGACACCAAGAACCUGGGAAGAAUCUCUAGAAGUUGCCCAUAGCACCCCAGAUGCCAGUACCAGGAAGCAGAGGUCAGGACACAGGCAUACUCACAAGACAACUCUGAGGACCCAGGGAGAAGAUGCCCUCUGCAAGCCAAGGAGCGAGGGCCCUCCUAGAUCCUGGCUCUUGGACUUCCAGCCUCCACAACUGUGAGACCAUCAAUGUCUGCACCCCCAAACCAGCAGUGGUUUGUUACUGUGGCCCAGCAGAGUUAUGACCUGGUUCUUAUUCUGCUCUAACCACAUGGUUUCUCAGCCAUUCCCAGACAGCCAGGCACACUCCUGCCCCAGGACCUUGGCACAGGCUGUCCCCUGCCUGGCUGCUUACAGCUCUGGCCCUGCCUGCUUCAGGUCAUUCUCAGAUACCUUGCCCUUCCCCAAUGCCUUCCUUGGUCCCAAUCUCUGCUCCUUCCUGACUUCUUGGCAUCUUGUCUGUCUUCUUUUGUUACUGUCUUCUUCUCACCAGAUGUGGCCUCUACAGGCAGUUUUGUUUGCAUCCCGGGAGGGGAACAGGGCUGAACCAUCUCAUCACUGCAUCAUUUUUUGUUGCUGAAUGAAGGAACAAAUGAAUGGAGUGAGCUGCUCGGGCCGUGGAUUAACUCCUUCCUCACAAGCAAGCAUCCUUGUCAUCUCCUGGGAGGAAAUAAAGGUUAAGUGAGGAGCCCAAGGUGACACCUGCCGUUGGCAUGAGAAUAUGGAUGAGCAUCCCAGCAACCUGACCCUGCACGUUGGUCCUGAAUCCCCUCUGUCCCUGGGCCAAGGAGGGGGGGCCUGUGCACUGCCAUGUAUGGAAAAUCAGCCAAAGUAGCCCCUGGGUGGAUCUUGGGCUCCCUGGUUUGGAAAAGCAAAGAUCCUUCCUGCACUUCAAAAGGAGGCCAUAGCUCCCAGUGGAUAUGCAUAUACCCAGUUACCGAUUAAUGGGAAGGAAUUGGUAUGUGUGUGUUUAAAAAUGAGUUGUUUUAUGUGUGGUGGUGAUGCUGAGUAUUUCUGAGUGUGCAGACAAUCAGCCUUGGGAAUGCUUUCAGAACCAGGAAACUACAAUGCACACUAUUUGAAAACAUGAUGGGAUUUUUCUGAACGCCAAAUUUGGUUGUUUCUGAAGUCAAUAAAUACUGUGUUUUGUACAGAA